GACGGAGGAUGCAAGCGUUAUCCGGAAUUAUUGGGCGUAAAGCGUCCGCAGGUGGCUGUUCAAGUCUGCUGUCAAAGCGCAGAGCUUAACUCUGUACAGGCGGUGGAAACUGAAGAGCUAGAGUAUGGUAGGGGUAGAGGGAAUUCCCGGUGUAGCGGUGAAAUGCGUAGAUAUCGGGAAGAACACCAGUGGCGAAAGCGCUCUACUGGGCCAUAACUGACACUGAGGGACGAAAGCUAGGGGAGCGAAUGGG
rnacentral:rRNA from 1 species